rnacentral:rRNA from 1 species
CAGUCGCCACGGUAAUACGGAGGGGGCUAGCGUUGUUCGGAAUUACUGGGCGUAAAGCGCACGUAGGCGGCUUGGUAAGUUAGAGGUGAAAGCCCGGAGCUCAACUCCGGAAUUGCCUUUAAGACUGCCGAGCUAGUAGGUGAGAGAGGUAAGUGGAAUUCCGAGUGUAGAGGUGAAAUUCGUAGAUAUUCGGAAGAACACCAGUGGCGAAGGCGGCUUACUGGCUCAUUCCAGACGCUGAGGUGCGAAAGCGUGGGGAGCAAACAGGAUUAGAUACCCCAGUAGUCCCUGUCUCUUAUAC